GACGAACGCUGGCGGCGUGCUUAACACAUGCAAGUCGAACGGAAAGGCCCUGCUUUUGUGGGGUGAUCGAGUGGCGAACGGGUGAGUAACACGUGAGUAACCUGACCUUGACUUUGGGAUAACUUCAGGAAACUGGGGCUAAUACCGGACAGGAGCUCCUGCUGCAUGGUGGGGGUUGGAAAGUUUCGGCGGUUGGGGAUGGACUCGCGGCUUAUCAGCUUGUUGGUGGGGUAGUGGCUUACCCAGGCUUUGACGGGUAGGCGGCCUGAGAGGGUGACCGGCCACCAUGGGACUGAGGUACGGCCCAGACUCCUACGUGAGGCAGCAGGGGGGAAUAUUACACAAUGGUCGGAAGCCUGAGGCAGCAACGCCGCGUGCGGGAUGACGGCCUUCUGGUUGUAAACCGCUUUCGCCUGUGACGAAGUGUGAGUGACGGUAAUGGAUAAAGAAGCACCGGCUAACUGCGUG
rnacentral:rRNA from 1 species